rnacentral:rRNA from 1 species
AGAGUUUGAUCCUGGCUCAGGACGAACGCUGGCGGCGCGCCUAACACAUGCAAGUCGAACGAGAGAUGAAGAGCUUGCUCUUCAAAUCGAGUGGCGAACGGGUGAGUAACGCGUGAGGAACCUGCCUCAAAGAGGGGGACAACAGUUGGAAACGACUGCUAAUACCGCAUAAGCCCACAGCUCGGCAUCGAGCAGAGGGAAAAGGAGCAAUCCGCUUUGAGAUGGCCUCGCGUCCGAUUAGCUAGUUGGUGAGGUAACGGCCCACCAAGGCGACGAUCGGUAGCCGGACUGAGAGGUUGAACGGCCACAUUGGGACUGAGACACGGCCCAGACUCCUACGGGAGGCAGCAGUGGGGAAUAUUGCACAAUGGGGGAAACCCUGAUGCAGCGACGCCGCGUGGAGGAAGAAGGUCUUCGGAUUGUAAACUCCUGUUGUUGAGGAAGAUAAUGACGGUACUCAACAAGGAAGUGACGGCUAACUACGUGCCAGCAGCCGCGGUAAAACGUAGGUCACAAGCGUUGUCCGGAAUUACUGGGUGUAAAGGGAGCGCAGGCGGGAGAACAAGUUGGAAGUGAAAUCCAUGGGCUCAACCCAUGAACUGCUUUCAAAACUGUUUUUCUUGAGUAGUGCAGAGGUAGGCGGAAUUCCCGGUGUAGCGGUGGAAUGCGUAGAUAUCGGGAGGAACACCAGUGGCGAAGGCGGCCUACUGGGCACCAACUGACGCUGAGGCUCGAAAGUGUGGGUAGCAAACAGGAUUAGAUACCCUGGUAGUCCACACCGUAAACGAUGAUUACUAGGUGUUGGAGGAUUGACCCCUUCAGUGCCGCAGUUAACACAAUAAGUAAUCCACCUGGGGAGUACGACCGCAAGGUUGAAACUCAAAGGAAUUGACGGGGGCCCGCACAAGCAGUGGAGUAUGUGGUUUAAUUCGACGCAACGCGAAGAACCUUACCAAGUCUUGACAUCCUGCGACGGUUCUGGAAACAGAACUUUCCUUCGGGACGCAG